UACGUAGGGUGCGAGCGUUGUCCGGAAUUAUUGGGCGUAAAGGGCUCGUAGGCGGUUUGUCGCGUCGGGCGUGAAAACACCGGGCUUAACUCGGUGCUUGCUUUCGAUACGGGCAGACUAGAGGCAUACAGGGGAGAACGGAAUUCCUGGUGUAGCGGUGAAAUGCGCAGAUAUCAGGAGGAACACCGGUGGCGAAGGCGGUUCUCUGGGCAUGUCCUGACGCUGAGGAGCGAAAGUGUGGGGAGCGAACAGG
rnacentral:rRNA from 1 species